rnacentral:rRNA from 1 species
GACCUUCGGGAGCUUGCACAGGUGCUGCAUGGCUGUCGUCAGCUCGUGUCGUGAGAUGUUCGGUUAAGUCCGCUAACGAGCGCAACCCUCGCUGUGUGUUAUAUGUGUCACACGGGACUGCCGGUCUUAAGCCGGAGGAAGGUGGGGAUGAUGUCAAGUCAGCAUGGCCUUUAUAUCCUGGGCUACACACACGCUACAAUGGCCAACACAAUAGGUUGCUAAGCCGCGAGGUGGCGCCAAUCCAUAAAGUUGGUCUCAGUUCAGAUUGUAGGCUGCAACCCGCCUGCAUGAAGAUGGAGUUGCUAGUAACCGCAGGUCAGCUAUACUGCGGUGAAUACGUUCCCGGGGCUU